rnacentral:piRNA from 1 species
UCCUGAGUUAACACAGGGAUGCCGCAGC